UUAAAUUGAAGAGUUUGAUCAUGGCUCAGAUUGAACGCUGGCGGCAGGCCUAACACAUGCAAGUCGAACGGUAACAGGAAGCAGCUUGCUGCUUCGCUGACGAGUGGCGGACGGGUGAGUAAUGUCUGGGAAACUGCCUGAUGGAGGGGGAUAACUACUGGAAACGGUAGCUAAUACCGCAUAAUGUCGCAAGACCAAAGAGGGGGACCUUCGGGCCUCUUGCCAUCGGAUGUGCCCAGAUGGGAUUAGCUAGUAGGUGGGGUAACGGCUCACCUAGGCGACGAUCCCUAGCUGGUCUGAGAGGAUGACCAGCCACACUGGAACUGAGACACGGUCCAGACUCCUACGGGAGGCAGCAGUGGGGAAUAUUGCACAAUGGGCGCAAGCCUGAUGCAGCCAUGCCGCGUGUAUGAAGAAGGCCUUCGGGUUGUAAAGUACUUUCAGCGGGGAGGAAGGCGAUAAGGUUAAUAACCUUGUCGAUUGACGUUACCCGCAGAAGAAGCACCGGCUAACUCCGUGCCAGCAGCCGCGGUAAUACGGAGGGUGCAAGCGUUAAUCGGAAUUACUGGGCGUAAAGCGCACGCAGGCGGUCUGUCAAGUCGGAUGUGAAAUCCCCGGGCUCAACCUGGGAACUGCAUUCGAAACUGGCAGGCUAGAGUCUUGUAGAGGGGGGUAGAAUUCCAGGUGUAGCGGUGAAAUGCGUAGAGAUCUGGAGGAAUACCGGUGGCGAAGGCGGCCCCCUGGACAAAGACUGACGCUCAGGUGCGAAAGCGUGGGGAGCAAACAGGAUUAGAUACCCUGGUAGUCCACGCCGUAAACGAUGUCGACUUGGAGGUUGUGCCCUUGAGGCGUGGCUUCCGGAGCUAACGCGUUAAGUCGACCGCCUGGGGAGUACGGCCGCAAGGUUAAAACUCAAAUGAAUUGACGGGGGCCCGCACAAGCGGUGGAGCAUGUGGUUUAAUUCGAUGCAACGCGAAGAACCUUACCUACUCUUGACAUCCAGAGAACUUUCCAGAGAUGGAUUGGUGCCUUCGGGAACUCUGAGACAGGUGCUGCAUGGCUGUCGUCAGCUCGUGUUGUGAAAUGUUGGGUUAAGUCCCGCAACGAGCGCAACCCUUAUCCUUUGUUGCCAGCGGUCCGGCCGGGAACUCAAAGGAGACUGCCAGUGAUAAACUGGAGGAAGGUGGGGAUGACGUCAAGUCAUCAUGGCCCUUACGAGUAGGGCUACACACGUGCUACAAUGGCGCAUACAAAGAGAAGCGACCUCGCGAGAGCAAGCGGACCUCAUAAAGUGCGUCGUAGUCCGGAUUGGAGUCUGCAACUCGACUCCAUGAAGUCGGAAUCGCUAGUAAUCGUGGAUCAGAAUGCCACGGUGAAUACGUUCCCGGGCCUUGUACACACCGCCCGUCACACCAUGGGAGUGGGUUGCAAAAGAAGUAGGUAGCUUAACCUUCGGGAGGGCGCUUACCACUUUGUGAUUCAUGACUGGGGUGAAGUCGUAACAAGGUAACCGUAGGGGAACCUGCGGUUGGAUCACCUCCUUACCUUAAAGAA
rnacentral:rRNA from 2 species